rnacentral:rRNA from 1 species
CUGCGCCACGAGUGGCAACCACUUUUAUUGGGCCUAAAGCGUCCGUAGCCGGUUUUGUAAAUUCUUUGUGAAAUCGUCAAGCCUAACUUGACGGUGUGCAGAGAAAACUGCAAGACUAGGGACCGGGAGGAGUCAGAGGUAUUUUUGGGGGAGCGGUAAAAUGCUAUAAUCCCAAAAGGACCACCUGUGGCGAAGGCGUCUGACUAGAACGGAUCCGACGGUGAGGGACGAAAGCCAGGGGAGCGAUCCGGAUUAGAUACCCGAGUAGUCC